rnacentral:rRNA from 1 species
AACGAACGCUGGCGGCAUGCCUAACACAUGCAAGUCGAACGAGACCUUCGGGUCUAGUGGCGCACGGGUGCGUAACGCGUGGGAUCCUGCCCUUAGGUUCGGAAUAACUCCCCGAAAGGGGUGCUAAUACCGGAUAAUGUCUUCGGACCAAAGAUUUAUCGCCUUUGGAUGGGCCCGCGUUGGAUUAGCUAGUUGGUAGGGUAAAAGCCUACCAAGGCGACGAUCCAUAGCUGGUCUGAGAGGAUGAUCAGCCACACUGGGACUGAGACACGGCCCAGACUCCUACGGGAGGCAGCAGUGGGGAAUAUUGGACAAUGGGCGAAAGCCUGAUCCAGCAAUGCCGCGUGAGUGAUGAAGGCCUUAGGGUUGUAAAGCUCUUUUACCCGGGAUGAUAAUGACAGUACCGGGAGAAUAAGCUCCGGCUAACUCCGUG